GACGAACGCUGGCGGCGUGCCUAAUACAUGCAAGUCGAGCGGACGGAUGGGAGCUUGCUCCCAGACCGUCAGCGGCGGACGGGUGAGUAACACGUGGGCAACCUGCCUGUAAGACUGGGAUAACUCCGGGAAACCGGGGCUAAUACCGGAUAACUCUUUCCCUCACAUGAGGGAAAGCUGAAAGAUGGCAUCUCGCUAUCACUUACAGAUGGGCCCGCGGCGCAUUAGCUAGUUGGUGAGGUAACGGCUCACCAAGGCGACGAUGCGUAGCCGACCUGAGAGGGUGAUCGGCCACACUGGGACUGAGACACGGCCCAGACUCCUACGGGAGGCAGCAGUAGGGAAUCUUCCGCAGUGGACGAAAGUCUGACGGAGCAACGCCGCGUGAGUGAUGAAGGUUUUCGGAUCGUAAAACUCUGUUGUCAGGGAAGAACAAGUACCGGAGUAACUGCCGGUACCUGGACGGUACCUGACCAGAAAGCCACGGCUAACUACGU
rnacentral:rRNA from 1 species